CCUACGUGUGGCAGCAGUAGGGAAUUUUGCGCAAUGGGCGAAAGCCUGACGCAGCAACGCCGCGUGAUCGAGACGCCCUUCGGGGUGUAAAGAUCUGUCAGUGGGGACGAAACUUGACGGUACCCACAGAGGAAGCACCGGCUAACUCCGUCCCAGCAGCCGCGGUAAUACGGGGGGUGCAAGCGUUGUCCGGAUUUAUUGGGUUUAAAGGGUGCGUAGGCGGGUUAUCAAGUCAGCGGUAAAAUCGUGGAGCUCAACUCCAUCCAGCCGUUGAAACUGAUGAUCUUGAGUGGGCGAGAAGUAUGCGGAAUGCGUGGUGUAGCGGUGAAAUGCAUAGAUAUCACGCAGAACUCCGAUUGCGAAGGCAGCAUACCGGCGCCCGACUGACGCUGAAGCACGAAAGCGUGGGUAUCGAACAGGAUUAGAUACCCCAGUAGUC
rnacentral:rRNA from 1 species